UGGCAAGCGUUGUUCGGAAUUACUGGGCGUAAAGGGCGCGUAGGCGGUUCGUUAAGUCCUGUGUGAAAUCCCCCGGCUCAACUGGGGAACUGCACAGGAAACUAGCGGGCUUGAGUUCGGGAGAGGGAAGCGGAAUUCCGGGUGUAGCGGUGAAAUGCGUAGAUAUCCGGAGGAACACCGGUGGCGAAGGCGGCUUCCUGGACCGACACUGACGCUGAGGCGCGAAAGCUAGGGGAGCAAACGGG
rnacentral:rRNA from 1 species